AUGUUGCGGUCCUUGCAUGGCCGACAUGGGCGCUUCCAUGGUCGACAUGGGCAUAAACUGUACAUGGGUUUGCUGGGGAACGUACUGAACCUGAUCACGACAUCUUGAGAUACCUGAGGACGACACCCUGGAAGUAUUGGGAUAUCUUCGCCCUUACGACCCCAAGAAAACGACAUAUAAGAACGACUUCGUCACCCCGAGACAAACAACACCAAACGUGCAUUCUUCUGGGAUAAUGUGCCCUGCUAUCCUGGCAUGAUUCAGGAUCUUAUCAUGUAUGGAAAGUCAAGAUGGAGCCCCACCUCCAAAAGAGGUUGGCACUUGUGGGAUUCUAUCAUUCCACCUUACUUUUAGGAUGUUGUCAGUGCUACAUAAUUAUACUGUGCCGUACACUCCCUUGGGAGGUGAAAUGGUUAAAGGAAUGUUUCUAGGGCUAGUAAUAGGACAUAAUAAUCAUUUCCAGCUCUCUGAGCACCAGUCUUUAGUUCAUAUUAGAUAUUUUUAGGGAAUACAAGAAUAUUAAGUACGUUCUUGUAACAUUCCCGGACAAGUACUAUGGCACUUCUAUACCUCCGUACAUUGGAUUUCUUUUACCUGCCAUACUUGGUCGUUUCAGGGACUGCGGGUAAUUCGCAGUUUUUGACUCCUCAAUAGAUAUUCAUAAAAAUCUUGGACAGAUUAGCCAGUCCUAUUGAUAGAGAUCCCCUCACGUGGAUGGUCUUUAACGGCUGAUAAGGACCUUUCUCGUGAAUGCAUAUACAAUAUAAAGCGGUGUUUAGCAGCUAAACAUAAUUUUGCUAUUCCUUUGCAAAUAUACUGAGAUGCUAGACGUUAGAUGUCCCAUUCCGAAGUAUGAAAGUCCAACGGCUUGGCACUAUCCAUUAAAACUCCAAACUUGUGUAACAUUAAAACAUGUUUCCGAAAUGAUAGCAGGAAAGUGUUUAGAAAAUUGUUAAAACGAAACUCGUAAAAAAGGCCAAUAUUUGGAGCUGUCCUAUAAAAAUAUUAUCAACCGAAGGAGUUUGUUAACGCACCAUGACAGGAGUGUAGGGAUUGCAACAUUGGCAUACGCCAUAGCAGGACAGAGAGGCAGUCACAACGCUGAUGGUCAACUCAGCCAGGCCUACUAUUCCCAACAACGCAUCGAUGGCCUGACGCAGUGUCUGCACACACAAAUCCACAAAUAACACCGAAAAUAUCAAAGUCUGGGUGUCAUGAAUAACGGAAAGUAUUCUUCGUUCGACACUAAAACGUGUAUGGUGUUAGAUGUGUGAAAUUCCAUUGGUUUCGCCGGUAUUAUACACCAUCUCAGCAUCUGGAGCACUCGAGCGUUUAAUGCUCAACGCCAAAGGCCAGUGUGUUGUAUUUGAGUCCAUCACAAGUCCCUGUAAGUCCAUUCCAAGUAAUUCAGUCUUAAGCCAAUUCACAAGCUAUUCAAAUGAGCUGUGACAAAGGCAUUUUGUGUCAUUGAUCACUGUGUUACUUACGACAUGCCUUGUGAAAGGACUAUUUAAAAGAUGGAUUUGCACCGGGGAGAUGUAAAUUAAUUUUGGACAUUUUUUGCCCUGCCCGACGUGUAUUUUAACACUGUAUACACAGUGUAUGCCCCCAAGUCUAGCAUUUUUCACUAUAGUGCCUAUCAAGCUCUCGCCUGUAAGAAUAUCAUUUUUAAAUAAGAUAUUUUCACGAUUCUUUACCCUUAUUACUGUAAACCAGUUUCAAUCAGCAUUUUCUUUGUUACCAUUCUCUUUUACACGCCAAGUGUAACAUUCUCGUUAAAUCAUAUUUGUUUAUUUGUUCCUAAUAUCAGUGUGUCCUUGUUUCAUGUAAUUCAAGCUUUAGAAUAAUUGCCAUUCUUAAAUAGUUUGGAGUUUUUCGGAUCGUAACCCGUGGGUCAACGGCAUUUCGGUCAAGAACUCUGCUUUGGUGUAAUCAAAGAUUCCUGCAGCUUCCUCUCCAAGUUUUUUUGUUUACAAAACUGAUGUGAUAAUUAAUUGUGCAAUAUACCAUGUGGAAACCACAAUAAUAGUUGUAAUCGAGGCCACGCGGGUACGGGUGACAGUAGUAAUAGAACUCUACAGGGGCGGCAAUAACAGAAGCAACCAUCAGCUGGAAGGCCACAAUCGAGGAUAGUAUCGACAUCACCAUGAAGGCUAUGACCUGAAAUAAAACGCAGUAACAAAUGCUUACCGUGAAGGGAAUAAGUUAAGAAAGUCAUAUGUCACGUCACUUGUCAUUUUCUAUAACUGCUUUUCAAAGAUUAAACAAACGGAAACAAAACGAAAAAAAUAUUAAGAAAACGCUCAUUCAUACUUGGAAAUGCUAGCGUCAAAAGACACCGUUCGUUUCAAUUUCUUGCGAUGUCACUUAUGUAGUCAUAGCAAAAACGUCUCUGCCAUUUCUCACACAAAAGGAUUUUCAAAUCCUUCGAUCGUACUAUCCGCCCAAACUUUCCCGAAUUCUAUGAAAACGUUACUGGUUAGCUUACAUAUGGGGCCUGUGUACUUCAAAUGUUGUCAUUUUAAUUAAACGAAUCAGCUCUGAUCUUA
rnacentral:lncRNA from 1 species